CACUAGGUGGAGGCGAAGGCGCGU
rnacentral:siRNA from 1 species